rnacentral:rRNA from 1 species
UACGAAGGGGGGCUAGCGUUGCUCGGAAUCACUGGGUGUAAAGGGUGCGUAGGCGGGUCUUUAAGUCAGGGGUGAAAUCCUGGAGCUCAACUCCAGAACUGCCUUUGAUACUGAGGAUCUUGAGUUCGGGAGAGGUGAGUGGAACUGCGAGUGUAGAGGUGAAAUUCGUAGAUAUUCGCAAGAACACCAGUGGCGAAGGCGGCUCACUGGCCCGAUACUGACGCUGAGGCACGAAAGCGUGGGGAGCAAACAGG